UUGUUUUUUUGGUGAAAGGCAAAGAAUUUUUUGAUGGAGUUGAAUUUUAAGAGUUUCUUUAUUUAUAAGGGUUUGCAAUGAUCCGAGUUAUUUGGAAUAUGAAAACGCCAUAGUAUCUCAUAAAUACAUAAACACUUUAAUUCCUCUUGAUUUUGAAGAUGAGAAUUUCUUCUACUUACUUAAGUUACAAUACAUUUCCAACUAAUAACUGCUUAUAAUUUAACUUUACUAAUUGUAUGGCAUUACUA
rnacentral:lncRNA from 1 species